rnacentral:lncRNA from 1 species
UGUGAAGACACAGGGCCCUUCCUCUAGCAUCAAUUCUGUUGAUGCAGAAUUCUGCCGAAGCCGGAGAAGCUGGAGUCGGGAUGACCGUGGCCGUCACUGGGACCUGUAAGAGAAGUCUAAACCAGAGUUAGGGGUGCUCCGACAAGACCCUCCGAUGCUCAAGUCAGUACUCUGCUUCAACAGAAAUGGAGUGCUCGAGAGAAAAUUUUAGCAGAGUUUUGAGAUAGAGUUUUGAGCCUAGAGA